AAUCUUCAUUAGCCAAUAAUACCAAUGAUAAUUUAAUCAUAAGCAUUAUUGGAAUAAUGUUAAUAAAUGAUGAAUAAAAAAUGAUUGCAACACAAUGUUGCGGUAAUAUUAAAAAAAUAAUGAAAAACAAAUGUAAAUAAGUUAUUAUCUUAAUCUUGUUUUAAUAUUACACCAAUGUUAAUUCAAUGAUAUCAGUGCGCAUGCGUGAAUGCGUGCGCAUCCAUGAGUCGCACACUCUGCUACUCCGUCCGCCAUCACCGCAUCAAGAAACAAACACUGAACGGCUAACGGCUACGCUUCGCGCAAUUUUCGUUUUGUUCUUCGUUCUGCGAGUCGUUUGUCUGCUCUUAAGAGUUUAAAAUACACCCAUGUAAGGAUCCUUGAUGUUAUCAACACACGCACCGUUCAGCAAAUAUUACAGGCCGGGCGAGGAUGGCUUCGACCCUGUGGAGCAGACGAUGAACGAGCUGGAAGAGGGACAAGGACAAUGCGCGGCUGGACAAGAAGAUGGCGAAGUUCGUCGGCUUUGAGCCGGGCCACUUUUCACGUCGCCGCCUGGUGCCCAAGGACAUCCACGACCCGCACCCGUUUACCUUGUGGACUUUCUCCUCAUGUUGCUGCCCUAAUCGUCUUUUCUGAUCGAGAACUACCCUAGCUCCAUGAACAUCCACCCUCCACGAAAGUGGCCCCACGUACCGCCACACCAAACUACUUUGGAACUCAAAAUAAUUAAUUUUAUGUCCUUGCGUCAUGCGUUCAUGCAGAAUUGCAUUUGUAUUCACCCGGUAUUUUUCUCCACUGGUUUUUAACUGCUGUUUGAGCAACUCAAUUUUUACCAAUUUAUUGCGCAUUAAAUUGACUUUUGUCAUUUCCUCCUAGGUAUUAAUAUUAUAUAAAAUUAGAGGUCGGAGUGGUCAAAAUUUACAAGUAGAUAUUUCCUUUUAAAUUUUCAUUUGCCUCAAUUUCUCAAUAAAUUUAUCUCAGACAAUUUUUCUAGUCGCAUGAACAAUUUAGAAAAAUAUUGAAAACUUAAGUGAAAACAUGGCCUGCAAGAGACUGGUGAAAAUCGAUAAAAAAAAACCUUAUUGCUACCACUUCACUGCAUUUUUUUUAAUUUGGGCGUUUUGGAACCUUUGGUCCUUGACUUAAAAAAUAUUAAUGACUUUUAUGAGCACUGGCACCAAAAAGGGCGGUCAGAAAUUGAUGAGGUACUUGUCAUGUGUGGUAAUGGCCUGAACUUUAUAUUAUACAGAGCCGCCAUUAUUGUUUCCCAUUUUUGUCACUGUCAAUGCGGCCCGUCGGGCCGAACGAUU